AACCUGCGGAAGGAUCAUUACCGAGUGAGGGCCCUCUGGGUCCAACCUCCCACCCGUGUUUAUUUUACCUUGUUGCUUCGGCGGGCCCGCCUUAACUGGCCGCCGGGGGGCUUACGCCCCCGGGCCCGCGCCCGCCGAAGACACCCUCGAACUCUGUCUGAAGAUUGUAGUCUGAGUGAAAAUAUAAAUUAUUUAAAACUUUCAACAACGGAUCUCUUGGUUCCGGCAUCGAUGAAGAACGCAGCGAAAUGCGAUACGUAAUGUGAAUUGCAAAUUCAGUGAAUCAUCGAGUCUUUGAACGCACAUUGCGCCCCCUGGUAUUCCGGGGGGCAUGCCUGUCCGAGCGUCAUUGCUGCCCUCAAGCACGGCUUGUGUGUUGGGCCCCGUCCUCCGAUCCCGGGGGACGGGCCCGAAAGGCAGCGGCGGCACCGCGUCCGGUCCUCGAGCGUAUGGGGCUUUGUCACCCGCUCUGUAGGCCCGGCCGGCGCUUGCCGAUCAACCCAAAUUUUUAUCCAGGUUGACCUCGGAUCAGGUAGGGAUACCCGCUGAACUUAAGCAU
rnacentral:rRNA from 1 species